rnacentral:tRNA from 1 species
GCCGGGAUGGCGGAACUGGUAGACGCACACGACUCAAAAUCGUGCGGGAAACCGUGGGGGUUCGAUUCCCCUCCCCGGCACCA